GGAUUAGAUACCCUGGUAGUCCACGCUGUAAACGAUGGAUACUAGAUGUCCGGAGAGUUCGACCUUUCUGGGUGUCGCAGCUAACGCAUUAAGUAUCCCGCCUGGGAAGUACGGUCGCAAGACUAAAACUCAAAGGAAUUGACGGGGGCCCGCACAAGCGGUGGAACAUGUGGUUUAAUUCGACGCAACGCGCAGAACCUUACCCGGGUUUGACAUCCUGUGCUCGCUCUAGAGAUAGAGUUUUCCCUUCGGGGACGCAGUGACAGGUGCUGCAUGGCUGUCGUCAGCUCGUGCCG
rnacentral:rRNA from 1 species